UUAAUUCUGGGUGGAAGAAAAAAAUCUCUGACUUGAGAUGUUCCGCACAUCAUGCAGUCAACUUCCCUGCGUGUGGGAAAGCUGCAAGGAUGAUUUCACUGAAAGCACAAAACCAAUUUAAAAUAAAAUCACGGAAUGACAGAAUAUGCUGAGUUGGAAGGGACCCACAAGGAUCAUCAAUCCAACUUCUGACCCUGCUCAGGGCACCCCAAGAAUCUCACCAUGUGCCUGAGAGUGUUGUCAAUGCUUCUUGAACUCUGACAGGCUUGGUGCUGUGACCAUUUCCCUGGGGAACCUGUUCCAGUGUUCAACCACCCUUUGGGUGAAAAACCUUUUCCUUAUAUUCAGCCUAAACCUCUCUUGAC